GUUCACCCUCGGCCUAACACGAAUGCACAGCACGUAGUGCAACGAUGGCAAACAGUUGUACACCACCUACCCGUGUGCCCUACACCCAGUGUCCACUCACAUAGUACCUACCGUGGGGAUUCAGGCGGCACGGGCAUGAAACACCCGGGGGAAUGGGACCUAGACUGUUACAGAACAAAUCAAAGAUUCGGAGGAUGGAAAUAAAGAUUCAGAAAACCACAGUGUGGUGGUAUGGAUUGCCGGAUCAUACUCAGUGAAAUCAACACAUAGAAAACCAUAGCAUGGUGAUCCGGAAUAUUGGAUCUCGAUCAGUGAAAUAAGCAGUAUUAGCACACAGGAAACCACAGUGUGGUGAUCCAGAAAGUUGGAUCACACUGUGAAAUCAGAUGUAUCACAUAGAAAACCACAUUGUGGUGAUCCGGAAUAUUGGAUCAUACUCUGUGAAAUCAGAAGAUCGUAUCACAUAGAAAACCACAUUGUGGUGAUCCGGAAAGUUGGAUCACACUGUGAUAUCAGAAGUAUCACAUAGAAAACCACAUUGUGGUGAUCCGGAAUAUUGGAUCAUACUCUGUGAAAUCAGAAGUAUCAACACACAGAAAAACAAUGGGUAUGUAAUACAUAAAAUGACAUUUGCAAAACAUUUACUCUAUUGAGCCUGAACCUGGUGACCUGUGUAUGGGACUGAGCAUUAAAAUAACAUGUAUUACUCAAUCUUACUGGUCCAGUCAUCAUGGAAAUAUUAAAUGCCAGACACGAAAACUUUAGCAUCAGAAUAGGAUUACAAAAUUAACAUUUGAUCAUGGCAUUUCACAUUCAUGAAGCAACAAUUUAUCAUCUGAUAGAGAGCCAUGAGGAAGAAUAUGUCUGUCAAAAAAUUUGUCACUAACUGUGACGAGAUAAUUUAUUAAGCAAUCUACUGCUUAAUUAUCCAAAAGAGUGAAAAAAGUCAAUUUUCCAAAAGCAAACUUGAAGAUGGUUAAUCCCCAAGAGCUACAGUGCCAAGGCAGGUCUAGGUGAAUCGUAAUGGAAGCAUAGACCGAGGCCUGACAGUGUGAUUUACGUUGAUAGGCCUCACGAAUGAGACUUCAAAGUCCGACAUUGUCAUCCGUAAUGAGAAAUGCUGCAACACGAUUAAUCGCAUAUGAUCAAUAAAUGCUCUGAUAGCAAAAUGAAAUAGGCUGGCAAGCGAUUCAUCACCCAGGAAAAAAGUCCCUCAUUUUUGAUUCCUCGUGAAUCAAUAUACCUGGGCAGCAUGAAGAAAAAAUAUGACACUUCAGUCAUCAAUUAAUACUAGGCUCCCAAAGCAGCCAUGAUUAAGGAGAGAGAGAGAAGGAGAAAUGGAAAGGCAGACUAAGGGAGUGAGAUGACAAUCACUGUUUAAUCAAUAAAUCUAAGCCAGAAGUUCAUGCAUACUAAAGAAAUCCGGCUGGCAGAAGAGGAAUAACUCUUGACCAAGAGCUGCCACGUCUCCAAGCUGUCCAGAAGAUUAGGGAUAACUGACAAGUUCUAACACAGGACAAAACUGAAGGUCUUUAGAAGUAUUAAGGUCCUCUUGGGCUAAAACAACUGUCUGAUGGAAAAUCAAUCGGGAAUGUUUUUGAACUCUUUAACUAUAGAAGACUGUCAGCUCUCAUAUCACUUCAAAUUAUCUAAUACUGAAGGUAUAUCCUCCAUUAGAUAUUUCUGUCAUGUUUACUGUCUUUGUGAAAGAGGAAAGAUUAUUGAGUUCACAUUCCAGACUGCAGAUAGACUAUUAAUUACUACAGUUAAUUAAUUACUUGAUUCUGUAACACCUGAGUACUCAGACACAGACAACGUACACCUGACCACUUCAUCAGCUUUUCUGUGUGGUCGUCUCCCUUACAGAGCCAUAAACACUGUUAGAAACUGUGUGGAAAAAUUGUAAAGUGAUGGCAGAGAACUGAAAUGUGAAUGACAUGAAUUAAGGACCUGGGAUACCCCCCAAACAAUUGUAGAAUUUUGUAAAACUAUAUUUGUAAAUGUUUUGAUAUUGCUAAAAACCCAUAUUCACUACAAAAUUUUCAUAUGAAACCAUCCUUUUUUUUUGCAGUAUUGACAUAUUUUUACUUGAUAAUUCAAAGUGAAAAACAUUACCCAAAAAUUUUAAUUCUUCAUAAACAAAUUUUUAUUGGUGCAUUUCAUGUAUUAAUGACCAAUUUACAUUGUUGUUUGAUCAAAUAAUGGAAAGUCCAAUGUAAACAGCAAAAUCCUACUUUAUUUGUUGCGUCCAAAAUCUUGGGUAUCCUUAACAGUCCUAUUGAAAUUAUUGAACAGUCCCGCUGAAAUUAUUGAACAGUCCCACUGAAAUGAAUUAACAGUCCCACUGAAAUUAAUCAACAGUCCCACUGAAAUCAAUCAACAGUCCCCCUGAAAUUAUUUAACAGUCCCCCUGAAAUUAAUCGACAGUCCCACUGAAAUUAAUCGACAGUCCCACUGAAAUUAAUCGACAUUCCCACUGAAAUUAAUCAACAGUCCCACUGAAAUUAUUUAACAGUCCCACUGAAAUUAAUCAACAGUCCCACUGAAAUUAAUCGACAUUCCCACUGAAAUUAAUCAACAGUCCCACUGAAAUUAUUCAACAGUCCCACUGAAAUGAAUUAACAGUCCCACUGAAAUGAAUCAACAGUCCCACUGAAAUUAUUUAACAGUCCCACUGAAAUUAAUCGACAGUUCCACUGAAAUUAUUUAACAGUCCCACUGAAAUUAAUCGACAGUCCCACUGAAAUCAAUCAACAAUCCCACUGAAAUUAUUUAACAGUCCCACUGAAAUUAAUCGACAGUCCCACUGAAAUUAUUUAACAGUCCCACUGAAAUUAUUUAACAGUCCCACUGAAAUUAAUCAACAGUCCCAAUGAAAUUAAUCCACAGUCCCACUGAGGUAAAUAUGCAGCAUUAGAAUCUGAGAUAUGAACAGAAGUUCAUCGAUUCAAAUGUUUUCCACUGAGCCGAAAAUCAGCUUAAGCAACUGGACAACUAACUUUCAGAAACAAAUGAAUGACAAAGAAUCUUUUGGAUUGCUUUAGGUGAAAUAAAAAAUAUGUGUGUU